rnacentral:lncRNA from 1 species
GGCGCCCGUCUCGGGGGCAGGUCCGCGGGGUGUGACGAAUGUUCCCGCGGCGUCUCCCCGCCCUCCCCGGCGCCUCCCCCGGCCUCGGGCAGCCGCUUUCUGCACGGCACCUCCGAAGCCGCUGGGCGUCUGUAACCAACCUGCACGUUGUGCGCAUGUGCCCCAGAAAUUAAAGUAGAAUAAACAACAACAAAACCAAAAGACCUUUUUACUUUGACGCAGUUUUAGAUUCCCAGGACGUUGCACAGAAAAUCCGGACGGAUCCUGUGCCCUCCGCCCAGCUCCCGGGGUCACAGGCAGCCUCGGCUCCGACCCCGCCGGGCGCGCGGUGACCGGCUGUGCGGGUUCCAGGGGCGGAUGUGCGCUUUGCCCGGCCCCUCUCCCGCCGCGCGGCCGCUCCUCCUCUCCGCCAAGGGCCGGUUCAGGCACAGGCCCCGCCGAGGCUGCCCCUGACUUGAGGGCUCACGCACCGGGCUGCUUGCGGCUCUGGACUAUUGUGAAUAAGGCCGGUGUGAGUAUUUUACUGUAAGUCUUUGGGGACGUGUCUUCAUGCCCCUUGGGUGAAUCCAGGUGUGAGAUUGCCGGGCCGGGGUGCUGUGAGUUACCUUUGGUUAUAGGGAGGUGGUGACCCAUGGUGGCUCCAAGUGCCCGUGGCCUUUCGUGACCCCGCCAGCAGCGGGUGGGCCUUUGGGGCGCUCCGAGGCUCGCCCGUGCUGCCCGUGGGUGCUUCAGCCAGUCCGGCCGCCGUGGCUUUCCUCUGCAGCCCCCGGUGCCUGCUGGCGUCGUGCCUUUCCGUGUGCUCGUUGGCCACGCACAUGUCGAGGGGCCGUUCUGACGAUGGACUGAGGGGCUCGGGGAUAGCACGUGUCCAGCGGGGCAGGUCAGCCUUUCUCUUCUCCCCACAGACCUCAGCACAGCUCUGCACCUCGGAGGACUCGGGGAAGUUUCUGGGCCUAUUUGGGCAAUAGGAGAAGGUCAUGGGCUGUCUUUCCAAAAUUCACGUCCACCCAGAACCCCCGAAUGAGACCUAUUUAAAGAGAAGGCCUUAGCUGAUGGAACAUUAAGAUGAGGCCACCCUGGAGCAGGGUGGGCCCUGAAUCCGAGGCUGCUGUCCCUGCAAGGUGACGAGAGGGUGCAGGCGUGGAGGAGACACAUGGGGGUGGGGUGAGGAACAGGCCACCGGCAGCAGAGACGGGUCAGGCCCAGCGAGGGAGGAGGUGGGAGGAGCCCCGGAGCCCUCGGAGGAAGCCGGGCUGGCACCUGGGCCUUGGACUCUGGGACUGUGAGGGAAUCAAUUCUGCCAUCUGAAGCCACCUGCUGUGGUCCUGUGUUACAGCAGCGCUGGGCACAAACAUGGGAGGGCCUCGUGAUUGGGACUGGGGCAUUCACAGGCCCGGCAGGCUGGUGAGCCGGUGCCUGGCAGGUGGGGAGGACAUGGUGUGAGAGGCGGCCUGCGGGCCGGCCAGUGAGCUCCAGCACGGGGACUGGUCACCAGCCAGUGAGCUCCAGCACGGGGACUGGUCACCGGACAGCAGUGUCAGCGUGGACGGUGAUCCCUCUAGAAGCCCUCCUUGUGUCUCGGGCCGGAAGCUAGGCACUGCACGCGCUCGGGAAUGGGCCGCUGCUGUGAGGGAGAGCGCCCGCUGUGCAGUGGGUGUCAAAUGAAUAUUAAUAAACAAAAGAGCCAAUUAUCCUUCGUUGCAGACAAGUUUCUUUGCAGAAAAUUUAGGAAAUACAAGAAGCAAAUAAAAAAAUCAAAACCACCCAGGAAUAUAACAGUUAUGAUGUGCUUUUUUCCUAAUCUUCAAAGCAAAGCUUUGGAGCCUGUAUUAUUUCUUGUUUGAAUUAAAUGCAGUUCAGAAGGAGAAAGUAAUUUCCCCAAAGCUGCCCAGUGAGGAGAGGGCGCCCAGGUGUGUCUGCUGCUGCCCCUCUCUGCAGACCCCAGAGCUGUCCCUGCAGCCCUCUCAGAGGGGGCCCCCGCCCUGGAGUCUGCCCUUCACCUUCCCCUUGCUUCGACCAGAGCUAAACUUGCCUGUGAUGACGAGGGAGUGUUUGGGAGACCCCCACGCUCUGUGUGGUUGGGCCCCUGGUCAACACCAGCCCGGCCUGCACCCCUGCUGGGGCCCUUCGAGGCUGCCCCGCUCCUGGGGACAGGCCCCCCCCGCAUGCUGCUUCCUGUAGGACCCACUCUUGAAGUCGGUCUGAGCCAUAAAUGAGACUCAUCAGGCAAUGGGCAUUUUUAUUAGAGGCAAAAUUAAAUUCGGAUGCCCAGGAUCUCUAUCAAGAGCAGAGAAAGGAGAAGAAUGACGUGUGUAUUUGUUCACUGCUUCCACCAGGAGCGCCUGCUCCCGCACCGGCCGCUCCGAGCCCCGGUCAUCGGGCUGGGGGAGUGCCUGCACCCGUACUGGCUGCUCCGAGCCCCUGUCGAGGGGCUGGGCCAGGUGAGGCGGAGCAGCCAUAGGCUUCCCUCAGUGGGAGGGAACACUCACCUCCCUGAAGGGUGGGAGUUCUACUGAGGAUUCGAGAGUAAUUUUCCAGGUGUCAGGUUUUCUGUGGGAUCCUGUGUGGGCUAUGAACCAGCCAGCUUUGACUUGCCUGUCAAUUUGCCUAAUGAAUUGGUGUGUGAGCGAGCCGAGUUUGCACCUGCCAUCCUCUUGGUCUAAACUACAGGCACUGCACGUUGCAAGAUAAGGGACGUUGCACAUCCUUCACCUGGGAAACUUCUGGACUCCUAACUUCACCUGGGAAACUUCUGGACUCCUGUGAGUCUGGCUGGGGGUGGGGGGGGUCCCUGGCAAGCCACUCACUUUUGGGGCCUCACUCACUGCCCGUGUUUUGCCUCCAUGAUCUUAGAAUUUUGGCAAGAUCUGGACUAGACAGAGGGCUGAGGCUUGGGCUGGGGUUGGGAGAAUUCUCUGCUGAGAACAGAGAAACUGGGACCCCUCAGGGCUUCUUACAGGAACAGGAAGCAACGACUGGGGAGUCCCAGAGGAAGGCGUUGAGCAGAGGGGCCGUGUGGUGGGUGGGCACCCCAGCAGGCAGGGUGCUGGGGGAGGAACAUGAGCCCCUGCGGGCUUUGGAAAGAGCAGUGAAGUACAGCCCCAUUGCCUCUGCCCAGGGCUAGCGGAAAGUGAAGUGUUCCCAGCCCCAUUGCCUCUGCCCAGGGCUAGCGGAAAGUGAAGUGUUCCCAGCCCCAUUGCCUCUGCCCAGGGCUAGCGGACAGUGACGUGUCCCCGCAGGCUGAACUCCGACUGGUGACAACGGGUCAGCGUCCUCACUCCCUGGAGACUCGGAGCCUGGACUUGCCAAAUUUGGCACCUGCCCAUUUUUUUUUUUUUUCUUUGAGAUGGAGUAUCACUCUGUUGCCCAGGCUGGAGUGCUGUGGCUCGAUCUCGGCUCACUGCAACCUCCACCUCCCAGGUUCAAGCUAUAUUCUGCCUCAGCCUGCUGAGUAGCUGGGAUUACAGGUGCCUGCCACCAUGCCCAGCUAAUUUUUGUAUUUUUAGUAGAGAUGGGAUUUCACCUUAGCCAGGAUGGUCUCAAUCUCCUGACCUCAGAUGAUCCACCCACCUCAGCCUCCCAAAGUGCUGGGAUUAUAGGCGUGAACCACCGUGCCUGGCCUUUUAAAAAAAAAAUUUUAGAUUCAUGGGUACAUGUGUGGGUUUGUUAUGUGGGUAUAUAGCUUGAUGCUGAGGUUUUGGCUUCUAACGAUCCCAUCACCCAGGGAGUGAACGCAGCUCCCAACAGGUGGUUUUCCAGCCCUCGUCCUCGUCCUCCUCCCCCUCCCACCUGCCCCUCUGGAGUCCCUGGCGUCUGCUAUUCCCUCUCUGCGUCAUGUGCAUGCAGCAUUCAGCUCCCAUGGAUAAGUGAGAACACGUGGUUUUGGUUUUCUGUUCGGGUUGAGUUCUCAGGCUGACGGCCUCCAGCUGCAUGUGUGGCUGCAGGGGACGUGCUCUCCUCCAUUUUCCCGGCUGCAUCGAGUUCAUGGUCUGUCUGCACACGUGAGGCCACCUGCCAGGCCACAUCCCAGCACAGGCGUCAUCCAGUGAUUUCCUCAUCGGCCAGAGUCUGCGUCUGCAGCUUUGUGAGCCACGCGGCCAUGGCCUGACUCUGUGCCGAGAGCCCCGCAGCGGUGGCCACAGACAAUAGAUGGAGUGCACUGGUGUGAUCUCAGCUCAACCUCCGCAUCCCAGGCUCAGGUGAUCCUCCUGCCUCAGCCUCCCGAGCAGCUGGGAAUACGGGCAUGCCCCACCAUGCCCGGCUAAUUUUUGUAUUUUUUGUAGCGACAGGGUUUCGCCACGCUGCCCAGACUGGUCUCAAUUCCUGGGCUUAAGUGAUCUGUCUGCCUUGGCCUCCCAUCGUGCUGAGAUGACAGGCGUGAGCCACUGCACCCGGCCCAGGCUGUUUUCAAUUCCCCGUGUUCUGCUACCUUCCAGGUGGGGCGGGCUGGGAGGCCUCUUCUAGAGGGGCCCUCAGGCUGCUCCAAGCCCUGGAAUGCAGCCCUGGUGGCCUCAGAACACCCCAGCAGGCUGGACCCGUGCCUCUGCCCCAGGGUGUAGGGUCCGGGUGGCCUGGGGUCGUCCCCUUGGGAGCUGCAUGGGUGGCCGCUGCUACUCCUACCUGGGAGGACAUCCCGUGGCAGGGGUAGAGGAUCGCCCGGUCGCCGUCCUCCGCUCCCUGGUCCAGACAGUAGGCACUGGCUUUGCUGUUUCUCACCUGCAAGCAGAAGCCCCAGGAGAAAGUCCAGAGUCACCCGAGGGUGCGGCCCCAGGGAGCUUCACGCAGCCAGCUCUGCAGCCAGCACCUAAGGAGGAACCCUGACAGCCCUCUGAGAACAAGCCCGGGCCAGACUGCUGGGGGAUGUGUUGUCAUCGGGCAGCCAACCUCCAGCCUCCAGAACAGGCCCAUCGGAGAUCAGCACAGCCUGGAUCAGGCCAGCAGCACUGCCUGGGUGGCCCCGGCUCGUGAGCAAGUGUAGAUGCUUAUUGCUUUUGUCCACCGCGUCUCCAGGCUGCUGGGUUUGCAGCAGCAGCUGACCCAUCCACCACGGCCACCACGAGAGGUCACACAGGUACCACUUGAAGCUGCGACACUUCAGCCUCUGACGCAGGGCCAGCCUCUCAGACACGUCCCCGAAGUCCACCCCUGGGUUCUGCAAGGCCAGAAGUAGGUGAGAGGAGGGUCUGAGGCAGCUGCUCCUGAUGGGAAGGACCCUGCCAGAGGCCAGCCCCGGCCUGGACAGACGGCCCCUGCUGCAGCCGGCUCGUCCACACCCACCCGGGCCCAGGAACCUCCUGCCUGAGAAGACGGCCCUGCUCACCUGGCCUUACUGCACGGCAUCAGCCUGACCUCUGGAGGGUGGAGACUGAGGUCAGCCAUAUCCAGAGACCAGCCUGGCCUGAGUAGGACAGAAAGGCCGAGGCAGGGAGUGUUCACACACUCUGCUCGAUUCGGGCUGGGACGUGGGUCCUCCCCUGCCUUCAGGCUUGGAGCUCACGCCACCGGCUCUCCUGGGCGCCUGCCAGCCGACGGCCAAUCUCGGUACCCUCAGCCCCCGUAACCGGGACAGAUCCAGAGUCCGGGGCAGGAGGGAGCCGCUCCCUCCUCGCCGAGAUGACCACACAGCACGCAGCUAACGCCAGGCUCCCUGACCCCGG